UCCUCUGCAUUUCACAACAUGUGGUAAUAUGUUCGACCAUACUAUUUUUGUAACGAAUUGGUGAUUUUUUUUUUUAAUUGUGUGCAUGUAUUCUUAAGUAAUUAUAAUGAAUAGUGAGUCAGUUGCAAAUUUGAUCGUUAAAAUACCGUGACAUUUUAGUGCUUUGCGUAAACUCUGCAACACAGUAAAAUUUUAAACAAUGGAGAACCCUGAACAAGUAACAAGCUACUAAAACUACUAACGUCUGCUAAAUGUUGUGUGACGCGUCUAGUGUGUUGGUGUUAGUGUCUGUGUGCUUGUCACCUCUCGCUUUCAGCCAUCACCGCUGGCUAGCAGCAAUGCGAAAAGGGGAAAGAAAUUCUAAUGACUUCCCCUGCCAGUACAUAGCCUCUCCACAACAAGUCCUAUGCGAUGCCUCCACGUGGAAGCAGACGGAUACUGGGUAUCAUUUUGUCCCAGGCUAAGUUCGCAAGGACGCACGGGAAGAUGAGUCUCAAAAGCAUUGAGGAAUACUUUUAAGGCUGAACAGGAUCCUGAAGUGAGGAGGACUCCUCUCUCAUUGAAUUGCAUACAGCAGCAGAAAGCAGGAUUUCAGUUCCCCUUUGAUUCAGAAGAGGAACAACAAUGGAGGACCAAGGUCAUUAAUAUGAGAAGAGUCUAUUGCUGUCUGUGUUUUGCAGCAGAAGAAAGUUAAGACUGACCAGGAAUUCUAAGUGAGGAAGAGUCCCUUUCCCAUUCUGCUGCAGCCAUGAGGAGAAUACUCGUAAGAAUCAGACUUUACUUCUUUUUUACCUAUGGAACUUCAUCAUGACCCACUUUAACAGGCAGAAGUCUUACAAGUAUUUUUUAUUUAAUUAUUUCUGACAUAUAUUUGUCCUCCCUACUCUAAAGUAACUAUGCUUUCCUCUCCUUGCCCCAAUAUUCCACCUUAUC